UGACCAGAAUUUCCUAAGCAGAGAAGCCCUGCCUGCUCUCUCACAGCAUCUCAUUUUUCAUUCUGCUCCUGAAGACAGCCCUUGACAAAUGACAGCUCUUCUAGUGUUAAGCAUCCCUAAUGAAACAUUCCAAGGGCAUGAUGCUGGCUUCUGGAUUCCUUUUUCUGCCCCCUCCCCCAAUUUUUUCAUUACAUAAAGCUGACAACUGCAGAUUGGUCCUCUGUUGAUUAUACAGUUAAAAGAGUUCAUGUCCAUCCCAGCUUGUUUCACUGCUGCUUUUCCUCCGCCAGCCCCACUUUCAGCUGCAGUAAUAUGAUACCACUUGGCAGAGGCUAAGAGAAUCUUUGGCACAUUGGAAACAGGCUUAAUGUAAAGUCUACAUUUUUUUUUUAUUUUAUUUUUUUAGAGCUUUUUGAAACUCUAGUGGUUCUGCACAACUUUGGCAGUGACUGCAGGGCUGCUCAGAAAUACUCCAAAUGCAACUGUGAGCAAAAGGAUUACCAAUGCAUUCUGUGAAGAGAAUGUCUUAGUAUCUGUCGCAUCUCCCUCUAAAAAGUAUUAAAGAACGACAUGGAUCAAGUAGAGCAACUUUCUGCAAACAGAAGGAAGAGCUUCUUCUCAGUUGACAAGAAAAAGAGCAAUGGCUGUAGAACCAUUGCAGGAUUUUUAUGCAUAUUCCCUGUGGUGGCUUUGCUGGCUAUUGUGGGAGAUCCAGCUGGAGCUGCAGUUCAGAAAAGUCAGGAAGAUGCCACAUCACCUGGUCUUCAUGGAGUGAGUGUCUCUGCUUUGCACAGUCCAGCUUUCCCACCUCGGCCUCCAGCAAGGAGAAAACGGUACACGAUCACACCAGGACACUUGAAAUGGGACCACUUCAACUUGACAUACAAGUACGGACUUGCAUUAGCCCUAAGAGUUAGCCUUUUCUGACACUGGGGUCUGAGUUUUUCCUGCCAUGGGUAUAGAUAUUUACCAUAUGAACAUUGCUAAUCUAUUUGCUAACGAAUGGAUAGCUGCUAGAGCCGCUCU
rnacentral:lncRNA from 1 species